CGGGCAGAAUAUACGGCCGCGGCGGCUUAGGCCGACGAGGAAAGUCCGGGCUUUACAGGGCAGGAUGCCGGAUAACGUCCGGUGAGGGAAACCUUAAGGAAAGCGCAGCAGAAAUGAUACCGCCGGGAAACCGGUAAGGGUGAAAUGGCAGUGUAAGAGACUACCGCUUCUCUGGUAACAGAGAGGGUCAAUGCAAGCCCCAUCCAAAGCAAGACCAAGUUGAAGCCAUACGGUUGCCCGCCGUGCUUCAGGUAGGUCGCUUGAGCGUAUCGGCAACGGUACGCCUAGAUAGAUGGCCGUACACGACAGAACCCGGCUUACAGUUCUGCCUAUGAU
rnacentral:RNase_P_RNA from 1 species